UAUCUUCAACAUCAACAGAUAAGACUGCUUUGUUUCCAAUGCUAUGUCAUCUACAUACAUAUUUCAGAAAGCUACAUAUCAGAGUGGCAAUCGAUUAGCGAAUUAGAUAAAUUAUAAAAUCUAGAAAACUUGAAAUUUAGAGAAGAUCCCAUUUUGAAAAACGAAACUGUAGAGACUGCUCGACAAUUGAUAAUUGCAAGGAUAGCGAAAUUAAAGAUCUUAAAUGGUACAGAGAUACCUCAUAAUGAAAGGAGAGGCGCAGAGCACAAUUAUUUGAAAUUGUCCUUACCAGUGUGGCUAGAAACCGAAAGUAAUUCAGAAAAGCGAACAUCAUUUAUAAAUAAACAUCCCCGAUAUCCUAUUUUAGUCAGUAAAUAUGGAAUUGCGGAUAUUCCUUCAGCUAAACUGAAAGUGGAAAUGGUUUCCAAUGUGAUGACGGUGGAAUUUGUAUGUCCGGACGAUCCACGUCAGUCUAGAGGGAUUAAAAGGAAGUUACUUAAAGAUGUGGAAGUUCAAAAAAUGAUUGGGCUUGUUCAAAAAUCGGUUAAUGAAGCAGGCCCUAAAAUUCUAAGUAUAUUUUAAUUAAAAAUAACAUGUACUUUUAAUGUAAAAUAUAGGAGACUGAUUUA